rnacentral:rRNA from 1 species
UACGUAGGUGGCAAGCGUUAUCCGGAUUUACUGGGUGUAAAGGGCGUGUAGGCGGUUUUGUAAGUCAGAUGUGAAAUCUCCGGGCUUAACUCGGAAACUGCAUCUGAAACUAUAAAACUUGAGUACUGGAGAGGAUAGUGGAAUUCCUAGUGUAGCGGUAAAAUGCGUAGAUAUUAGGAGGAACACCAGUGGCGAAGGCGACUAUCUGGUCUGUAACUGACGCUGAGGCUCGAAAGCGUGGGGAGCAAACAGGAUUAGAUACCCUGGUAGUCCCU